rnacentral:rRNA from 1 species
UGAGGAAUAUUGGUCAAUGGGCGCGAGCCUGAACCAGCCAAGUAGCGUGAAGGAUGACUGCCCUACGGGUUGUAAACUUCUUUUAUAAAGGAAUAAAGUGAGGCACGUGUGCCUUUUUGUAUGUACUUUAUGAAUAAGGAUCGGCUAACUCCGUGCCGGCAGCCGCGGUAAUACGGAGGAUCCGAGCGUUAUCCGGAUUUAUUGGGUUUAAAGGGAGCGUAGAUGGGUUGUUAAGUCAGUUGUGAAAGUUUGCGGCUCAACCGUAAAAUUGCAAUUGAUACUGGCAGCCUUGAGUACAGUUGAGGUAGGCGGAAUUCGUGGUGUAGCGGUGAAAUGCGUAGAUAUUAGGAGGAACACCAGUGGCGAAGGCGGCUUACUGGACGGUAACUGACGUUGAGGCUCGAAAGCGUGGGGAGCAAACAGGAUUAGAUACC